rnacentral:rRNA from 1 species
UACGGAGGGUGCAAGCGUUAUCCGGAUUCACUGGGUUUAAAGGGUGCGUAGGCGGUGCGGAAAGUUGGGUGUGAAAUCCCUCGGCUCAACCGAGGAACUGCGCCCAAAACUACCGUACUUGAGGAAGAUAGAGGUGAGCGGAACUUACGGUGGAGCGGUGAAAUGCGUUGAUAUCGUAAGGAACACCCGUGGCGAAAGCGGCUCACUGGGUCUUUUCUGACGCUGAUGCACGAAAGCUAGGGGAGCAAACGGG